rnacentral:lncRNA from 1 species
GCUGCAAUCCAUGUAAGAUGUGACUUGUUCCUCCUUGCCUUCUGCCAUGAUUGUGAGGCCUCCACAGCCAUGCGGAACUGUUGAAAUACACACUACCUGAAGCUGGAUAACUCAUGAACUCUGUUGACAAUUAUAUUCUUUGUCUUUUUAAUUAACUCAUUUGGAGUUGGUGUCCUGAGGACCUAAGCCUAAGAAUCUUCAAGAUGGAAGAGUAGAGUGAACAAUGAAUGAGCCAGAGGGCUCUUGUCCUCUGUGUGCAGCUCUGGGCAGCCAGCAGGUGGAUAUGGGACUUGGCCUGCUGGAGGGGCCCUGGCAAGAGGAGCUGGCAGGAGCAGAUGGCAAAGGAUAAAGCGCUCCCUUGUUGGUGUCCCCACAGUCCAGGCUGGUGCUGAUGCCGUCCUGCCGUCCUGCAUCAGAGCCACUCAUGCCCGUGUGCGCACUCUUUGUCGGGGUCUGACACCGUUGCAUCGUAUAUCACCUGUGUUGUCAUGGUCAGUGCUCAACAAAUGCCCCUACUGAUUCAAGUAUAUGAGCAAGUCAAAUAAAAAAAUAAUAUGGCCGG